GCCCUGGCUCAGUGGAUAGAGCGUCGGCCUGUGGACUGAAGGGUCCUGGUUCGAUUCCCGGUCAGGGCA
rnacentral:tRNA from 1 species